ensembl:lncRNA
AAAAUCUUGAAAGGACUGACAGAGAAAUCCUGUACAAAUGUGUGCUUCCAACUUGUGACAACAGUUUGGGGACAUUCCACAUAUGGGUGUGAUGGUCAGGUGUGAUGGGUGUGAUGGUCAGGUGUGAUAGUCGGGUGUGAUGGGUGUGAUAGUCGGGUGUGACAGUCGGGUGUGAUACGUGUGAUAGUCGGGUGUGAUGGUCAGGUGUUAUGGGUGUGAUGGUCAGGUGUGAUAGUCGGGUGUGAUGGGUGUGAUAGUCGGGUGUGAUAGUCAGGUGUGAUACGUGUGAUAGUCGGGUGUGAUGGGUGUGAUAGUCGGGUGUGAUAGUCGGGUGUGAUAGUCGGGUGUGAUAGUCGGGUGUGAUGGGUGUGAUAGUCGGGUGUGAUAGUCGGGUGUGAUGUGUGUGAUAGUCGGGUGUGAUGGGUAUGAUGGUCAGGUGUGAUGGUCAGGUGUGAUUGGUGUGUUGGUCAGGUGUGAUAGUCGGGUGUGAUGGCCGGUGUGAUGGGUGUGAUGGUCGCUGUGAUGGGUGUGAUGGUCAGGUGUGAUUGGUAUGAUGGUCAGGUGUGAUGGUCAGGUGUGAUUGGUGUGAUGGUCAGAUGUGAUGGUCAGGUGUGAUGGUCAGGCGUGAUUGGUAUGAUGGUCAGAUGUGAUGGUCAGGUGUGAUGGGUGUGAUAGUCGGGUGUGAUAGUCGGUGUGAUGGGUGUGAUGGUCAGGUGUGAUUGGUAUGAUGGACAGGUGUGAUGGGUGUGAUGGUCAGGUGUGAUUGGUGUGAUGGUCGGGUGUGAUGGUCAGGUGUGAUGGUCGGGUGUGAUAGUCGGGUGUGAUGGUCAGUGUGAUGGGUGGUCAGGUGUGAUGGUCGGGUGUGAUAGUCGGGUGUGAUGGUCAGUGUGAUGGGUGUAAUGAUCAGGUGUGAUGGUCAGGUGUAAUGGUCAGGUGUGAUGGUCGGGUGUGAUGGGUCUGAUGGUCAGGUGUGAUGGUCGGGUGUCCGUAUACAGUAUACAACUACACAUAUAGUGUCUUUUUCCCAGUAUAUUCUGUUUAUAUAUCCUAAUUAUCCAGUGAUAAUCACUGUUCUAUCCCUGUAAUAAACCAUACUC